AUACGUAUGUCGCAAGCGUUAUCCGGAAUUAUUGGGCGUAAAGCGAGUCUAGGCGGCUUGUUAAGUCAGAUGUGAAAAUGCGGGGCUCAACUCCGUAUUGCGUUUGAAACUGGCAGGCUAGAGUACUGGAGAGGUGGGCGGAACUACAAGUGUAGAGGUGAAAUUCGUAGAUAUUUGUAGGAAUGCCGAUAGUGAAGACAGCUCACUGGACAGAUACUGACGCUAAAGCUCGAAAGCGUGGGGAGCAAACAGGAUUAGAAACCCUAGUAGUCC
rnacentral:rRNA from 1 species